AUUGAACGCUGGCGGCAUGCCUUACACAUGCAAGUCGAACGGCAGCACGGGAGCAAUCCUGGUGGCGAGUGGCGAACGGGUGAGUAAAGUAUCGGAACGUGCCCAGUCGUGGGGGAUAACGUAGCGAAAGUUACGCUAAUACCGCAUACGAUCUACGGAUGAAAGCGGGGGAUCGCAAGACCUCGCGCGAUUGGCGCGGCUGAGAUCAGAUUAGGUAGUUGGUGGGGUAAAGGCUCGCCAAGCCGACGAUCUGUAGCUGGUCUGAGAGGACGACCAGCCACACUGGGACUGAGACACGGCCCAGACUCCUACGGGAGGCAGCAGUGGGGAAUUUUGGACAAUGGGCGCAAGCCUGAUCCAGCAAUGCUGCGUGCAGGAUGAAGGCCUUCGGGUUGUAAACUGCUUUUGUACGGAACGAAACGGCCCUUUCUAAUACAGGGGGCUAAUGACGGUACCGUAAGAAUAAGCACCGGCUAACUACGUGCCAGCCGCCGCAGUAA
rnacentral:rRNA from 1 species